CGCAUCUGUGCAUGCAGCAUAUCAAUAAGCGGAGGAAAAGAAACUAACAAGGAUUCCCCUAGUAACGGCGAGUGAAGCGGGAAGAGCUCAAAUUUGAAAUCUUAAAGGGUUUCCCUUUACGAAUUGUAGUUUAAAGAAGUGUUUUCUGUUGAGGUUUUGGUAAAAGUUCUUUGGAAUAGGACAUCAUAGAGGGUGAGAAUCCCGUAUUUGACCUUUACUUUCAACUUUGUGAUACACUUUCAAAGAGUCGGAUUGUUAGGGAAUGCAGUCCAAAAUGGGUGGUAAAUUUCAUCUAAAGCUAAAUAUUGGCGAGAGACCGAUAGCGAACAAGUACCGUGAGGGAAAGAUGAAAAGAACUUUGAAAAGAGAGUUAAACAGUACGUGAAAUUGUCAAAAGGGAAGCGUUUGACACCAGUGUUGUUUUUCUGAAAAUCAAUUAAAGAACUGUUUAUGCUAAGCUGUUUAGACUUUAUCAGCUAACUGUUUAGUUUUGAGCUUUUCUUUAAUGCACUUUUCAGUUAACAAGUCAACAUCAAUUUCUUUUGCUGUAAAAAAGCUUGAGGAAGGUGGCUUGAGAUUCGUCUUAAGUGUUUAUAGCCUCUUGCCUAUGCAGUCGGAGAGAUUGAGGUCUGCAGCGUAGAUCCUUCGGGGCUAAAUGCAUUUGUGCUAAGUUAUAGCAUUUUAUAGACAACUUGUUGACUAUGAUUUGUCUUGUAGCUUACUCGCUUAUGUUAUUUUACCUACGCUUAGGAUGUUGAGUCGUAGAGCACGCAG
rnacentral:rRNA from 1 species